AUACGUAGGGGGCGAGCGUUGUCCGGAAUGAUUGGGCGUAAAGGGCGCGUAGGCGGCGCGGUAAGUCUGGAGUGAAAGUCCUGCUUUCAAGGUGGGAAUUGCUUUGGAUACUGCCGCGCUUGAGUGCAGGAGAGGUUAUCGGAAUUCCCGGUGUAGCGGUGAAAUGCGUAGAGAUCGGGAGGAACACCAGUGGCGAAGGCGGGUAACUGGACUGCAACUGACGCUGAGGCGCGAAAGUGGGGGGAGCAAACAGGAUUAGAUACCCUGGUAGUCCACACUGUAAACGAUGAAUGCUAGGUGUAAGAGGUAUCGACCCCUUUUGUGCCGGAGUCAACACAAUAAGCAUUCCGCCUGGGGAGUACGGCCGCAAGGUUGAAACUCAAAGGAAUUGACGGGG
rnacentral:rRNA from 1 species